rnacentral:rRNA from 1 species
AUGAAUAGCGAUAGCUAGUUGCACAUAUAUAUGAUGCAAAAUCGACUCAGUCGAAUAAAAUUCUGGGUAUAAUUAUGAUGAUGACAUUAUUUACCCAUGUGUCUUGACCAAAUUACGUGCCAGCAGUCGCGGUAAUACGUAGAAGACUAGUGUUAUUCAUCUUUAAUAGGUUUAAAGGGUACCUAGACGGUAAAUCAAGCCCUUGCAUAGCAUGACGGGACUAAUUUGCUAGAGUUACUUACGCGGGGGUUUUAAAGUACUAAUGGUGUAGAGAUAAAAUUUUGUAAUACCAUUUUUCGAAAGAAAAGUUUUGGCACUGGUAAAGGCGUAAGCAUCCCCUUAUGUGAUAACUGACGUUGAAGGACGAAGGCUUUGGGUCGCGAAUAGGAUUAGAUACCCUAGUAGUCGAAGCAGAAAAUGAUGAGUGUCAUAGAUUAGAGGUUAAGUUUUAUUCUAUAAAUGAAAGUGUAAGCACUCCACCUCAAGAGUAAUUUGGCAACAUUGGAACUGAAAUCAUUAGACCGUUUCUGAAACCAGUAGUGAAGUAUGUUGUUUAAUUUGAUAAUCCGCAAAAAACCUUACCACAACUUGAAUAUUUAUAUCUUCGAUAUUUUUACAAGCGUUGCACGGCUGUCUUCAGUUAAUGUCGUGAGACUUUGGUUAGAUCCAUUAAAUUAACGCAAGCCCUUACUUUAUUUU